rnacentral:rRNA from 1 species
UACAGAGGGUGCAAGCGUUAAUCGGAAUUACUGGGCGUAAAGCGUGCGUAGACGGUUAUUUAAGUCAGGUGUGAAAGCCCCGGGCUCAACCUGGGAAUUGCAUUUGAGACUGAAUAGCUAGGGUGCGGAAGAGGGAAGCGGAAUUUCCGGUGUGACGCGGUGAAAUGCGUAGAUAUCGGAAGGAACACCAGUGGCGAAAAGCGGGCUUCCUGGUCCAGCACCGACGUCAGGCACGAAAGCGUGGGGAGCAAACAGG